GGGGACGUAGCUCAACUGGUUAGAGCACCGGCCUGUCACGCCGGAGGUUGCGGGUUCGAGCCCCGUCGUCCUCG
rnacentral:tRNA from 1 species